GACGGUCUGUCUCAGUGUGACACUGACACUGGCGUUAGCAAUUUUGAAUGGAGUUCUUAUAGGGAGCAUUCAUGUCAACUAAAUAAGUGGGGAACAACGUACAAUACAUUUACAGAAAACUCAAGAGAGAGUGAGAUGCAGUGCCGAAGCAAACAAGCCCAGUGAGAACAGCUUUUAGGAAGAAACGUUCAAAGAGGAUCUACCUACGUCGGUGAAAUAUAGUAGUGCUGGUGCAGAUAAUGUAAGUGCUCCCUCUUCGUGGAUAGUUCGAAGCAAGAGCCUGUGCCAGCACAAGGCUGGCUUAAUCUCAAACCAACGACUUGACUCUAUGGUACUACGAUCUACUCGUGUUCAUCAUGAGCCAGUGAAUGGCUCGAUCCUCGUUCACUAAUAUUAAUGAGGAUUCUAGAUGACUUUGAGCCAUGUUGAUAAUACAUACAGUGCAAGAAGUAUGAUAUAAACAAUUUAUACCCUUAAUAGUGUGUUUGGGUGCCAUAAUAGGGCAAACAGAGACGGCAAGUUGUAUUACUCAGUCCCUGCUGUUGUGAGAAAUCAAGGAUGAAACUCAAAGAGAUUAGUGAAAGAAGGAGAGCACUAUGGAUUUCCAGGAUAAACAGGACUCAUUUUCAGCUGUCAAGACAUACGAAAAUCUGCUCAGAUCACUUCAUUAGUGAUGAGUGUAAGUAAGAGUAAUGGUGAAUAAUUAAAGAGACCCAGGCCAUUAAUAUUUCACAAAGUGUUUCAUUAACAGUCACUGUUUUCUCUGUCUAUUGAUAUAUGACUUAAAGCUGCUAGGAAGUUAUUUUGGUCAAUUCUUUAAAACUUAGUAGCGAAUAGUUAAUUUUGUAUAUAUUUGUUGACAUUGAUAUUAAAUAUCAAAGAAGCAAAAAAUGGCUAGUGUUGUUGGAAAUUUUCGCCUGACUGGGUAGGUUCUAUGUCCCUGGAUGUGGCGGAACUAUGAUGAUCUGGCAUGAAGGGUAAUAUCAACAAACAUUUAAGUGAAGGUCUAGCCAUGGGUCCAGCAAGAUCAGGGUGGGUUUUACAAUGGAUUUUCUGUGCAUUCAGCUGAUUUACACAUUUCUUUGCAAGAAAUUUCGUAAUUUGUUCUUUGAAUGAUCAUGAUUUCAGGCUCUCUUCAAUAUCUCUUGGUCUACACUGUUCUGGACCAGUUAUGGUGUACUCCCUUUUUUCAGUGACACCCAAGCCUCUUAGUGCCCUUUCACUGUCUUUUAUUUAUGGCACAGGGUACAAAACAAAUUCCAGGUGAACCCUGAAGUUGGUAAAGGAAGUGGCUUGUCUUAAAAUCUUUGUGGCCAAGGCUCCAUAUGUUGCUGGGAUGUGUUGCGGAAAAAGAUGAAUUAGAUAAAUGCCAUCUAUGUCAUUGGCAUCAAUUGAGCCAGGCACAGCUGGUGGAGCUUUGCAUUUCUAGAAGUUCCAAGAGGCUACUCUUGUUCGUCUCCACCAAAGCAAUGCCAGUCAAGCACACUUCCUAAACAGUCAUUGCUACAAGGUAUUUGAAAGAGCGUAUGCAACAAAGGCCAGGUCCAGAACUCCAGUUGAAAAACUAAAAGGGAUUGAUGCUUUUGUGAUCCCACCAUGUGAGACAGAGGUCAUCCAGCAAAUCAGCAGGCAAAGUACGUUGCUAAAAUGUGGGCAGACACACAUGAAAAGUGCAUACAUCAGAAUCCAAUGGUAGAAGAUGGAUGACAACUGAAUGGGGAUGAAUAUGAACCUUGGGACACUUUGUACUGCAUAUUGUGUUGGUGCUCAGCAGUAACCAUUCCUCAAUGACUAGCAACAUUAGGGCAGUCAAGUCUUGCAAAACCUUUAUACCACAUUAUCUAUCCUUGUUGGUGAUAGAUGUAGGGUCCACAGCAUAAUCCACAUUAUAAAUGGUUUCUGGAAUGCAUUUAGUUACAUUAUGUUUAUAAUGUACCGUACAAUCUAGUUUUAGGUACAUUGACGUCUGGAAAAUCAUACAGUGAUGACCUUGAACUUGUCUCAAAUGACCUUUCCACCAGAACAUUUUGCCUUAAGUUGGUAUUAUGGAUGUAUGAUCUAUACUUAACAUUUUCCAGGUGGCUGCUGCAUUGUAGCUCAUAUGUCAAUUAAAACCACUAAUUACUAGUAAUAACCACCCAGUGGUGACAUUGAGAUUGUCUUAAAUGACUUUUCCAAUAGAAAAA